GAUGAACGCUGGCGGCGUGCUUAACACAUGCAAGUCGAACGGGAAACCUUUUAUUGAAGCUUCGGCAGAUUUAGCUGGUUUCUAGUGGCGGACGGGUGAGUAACGCGUGGGUAACCUGCCCUAUACAGGGGGAUAACAACCAGAAAUGGUUGCUAAUACCGCAUAAGCGCACAGGGCCGCAUGGUCCGGUGUGAAAAACUCCGGUGGUAUAGGAUGGACCCGCGUUGGAUUAGCCAGUUGGCAGGGUAACGGCCUACCAAAGCGACGAUCCAUAGCCGGCCUGAGAGGGUGAACGGCCACAUUGGGACUGAGACACGGCCCAGACUCCUACGGGAGGCAGCAGUGGGGAAUAUUGCACAAUGGGGGAAACCCUGAUGCAGCGACGCCGCGUGAAGCAAGAAGUAUCUCGGUAUGUAAACUUCUAUCAGCAGGGAAGAUAGUGACGGUACCUGACUAAGAAGCCCCGGCUAACUACGUG
rnacentral:rRNA from 1 species